rnacentral:rRNA from 1 species
ACCAGACUCCUACGGGAGGCAGCAGUGGGGGAUAUUGCACAAUGGGGGGAACCCUGAUGCAGCGACGCCGCGUGGGUGAAGGAGUAUUUCGGUAUGUAAAGCCCUAUCGGCAGGGAAGAAGCAAGACGGUACCUGACUAAGAAGCCCCGGCUAACUACGUGCCAGCAGCCGCGGUAAUACGUAGGGGGCGAGCGUUAUCCGGAUUCACUGGGUGUAAAGGGAGCGUAGACGGCCAAGCAAGCCAGGGGUGAAAGCCCGGGGCCCAACCCCGGGACUGCCCUUGGAACUGCUUGGCUGGAGUGCGGGAGGGGCAGGCGGAAUUCCUGGUGUAGCGGUGAAAUGCGUAGAUAUCAGGAGGAACACCGGCGGCGAAGGCGGCCUGCUGGACUGCAACUGACGUUGAGGCCCGAAAGCGUGGGGAGCAAACAGGAUUAGAUACCCCAGUAGC